GUGUGUUCGUUGCAGAGUUCCAUUCAUGCAAAGAAAUAAAGCAGAGUCAAAGUUCGUCUGCAAGUGGCCUUUACCAAAUCAGUGUUGGGAAAAAUCAAACGACAGAUGUGUACUGCGAGAUGUCGUCUAUCCGAGGUUGUUCUGGUGGUGGGUGGACGAUGGUGAUGAAAAUUGAUGGAAGGAAGGAUACGUUCCGAUACAACUCCAGUUAUUGGACGAACAAGAGCGUUUACAAUGAUAAUGACCGUGGAAAAAAAGGAGGUUUUGACAACAUAGAAUUCAAGGGACAAACAUUUUGGAAAACUUCAUUCAAUGAAAUUUGUGUUGUCAUGAAAUAUGGUGGUCAACUAAGAUACUUAUCUUUCUCAUAUCCAGCAUUGUCGCUGUAUAGUCUGUUUGCAGACGGCAGGUAUCAACAAACCCACAUCGGCCGUUCAAAUUGGAGGCAACUCAUCUACCGCUCAUCCUUACAGCGUCACUGCAACAGAGAGGGAUUUAACGUGUACUCUACAGAUAUAAAUGUACGAGUUCGGUUGGGCCUGAUAGCAAACCAGCAAGAGCACUGUGACUCCCCUGAUUCUUUUAUAGGUCUGGGAGGUGGGGGUAUCAAACAAUAUUGUAGUACCCGUAUUGCUACUCUUAACACCGCCGGAAAUUAUGCAAUUUGUCAACCAGACAAGGGAGAAAAGAACGCGAAAGCAAUGGGAUACCUAUUGGUUCGUUAAAACACAUUAUUGAAAAAGACAACUGAUUUAUGUUUAUUAACCAUAAUGGCAAGGAAUUAUCACUAAGGGCGUAAUUUUCGUACACGCGAAUCGGAAUUUUUUUAAACAUUUGCUUUAUAGAAAUAGACAUCGCGUUUAUAAAACAUAUAUAGUCUACUGAGUCGACAUCAUUACAUUAACAUUGCAUAGAAUAGUAUAAUCGAAAUGGUAGUUUUCAAUCGAUAAUAAAGUUAAUCAUAC